AAAAAAAAAAAAAAAAAGGCUAUGGGAGCCCAAAUUCAAAGCCCAGCUCCAGUAGAUCCAGCCUGUUAUGUGGAUCCACUCCCCCGGCCUGCAAUUCUCAACAUGUAUGAACAUUAAAUGAAUCUAUGAGUUAUAUAUAAGGCUAAAUAUCUUACAACAGCACCACAGAAAAAGAGCCAAUGAUAAGAACACAGCAAUAACCUACAUAUAGUAAAGACAAAGGAAAUGUACUAUGAUUUCAGGUUAAAAAGGCAUACCAUAUUCCACAUUCUCCAAUACUGAUGAAAGCCAUAGAUUCGAAGAGGUACAUGACAACAUUUACAAUUUGAAAUAAGCAAGGGAUUGUUGAGAGAUAUACCAAAAAAGAAAACACUACCUAAAUUAUAAAACUUUUACCUCAUCGACUGUUCUUGCAUUCCA
rnacentral:misc_RNA from 1 species